CCUACGGGUGGCAGCAGUGAGGAAUAUUGGUCAAUGGACGAGAGUCUGAACCAGCCAAGUAGCGUGAAGGAUGACUGCCCUAUGGGUUGUAAACUUCUUUUAUAUGGGAAUAAAACGUUCCACGUGUGGGAUUUUGUAUGUACCAUAUGCAUAAGGAUCGGCUAACUCCGUGCCAGCAGCCGCGGUAAUACGGAGGAUCCGAGCGUUAUCCGGAUUUAUUGGGUUUAAAGGGAGCGUAGGUGGAUUGUUAAGUCAGUUGUGAAAGUUUGCGGCUCAACCGUAAAAUUGCAGUUGAAACUGGCAGUCUUGAGUACAGUAGAGGUGGGCGGAAUUCGUGGUGUAGCGGUGAAAUGCUUAGAUAUCACGAAGAACUCCGAUUGCGAAGGCAGUUCACUGGACUGCAACUGACACUGAGGCUCGAAAGUGUGGGUAUCAAACAGGAUUAGAUACCCUUGUAGUC
rnacentral:rRNA from 1 species